UACGUAGGGUGCAAGCGUUAAUCGGAAUUACUGGGCGUAAAGCGUGCGCAGGCGGUUGUGCAAGACAGAUGUGAAAUCCCCGGGCUUAACCUGGGAACUGCAUUUGUGACUGCACAGCUGGAGUGCGGCAGAGGGGGAUGGAAUUCCGCGUGUAGCAGUGAAAUGCGUAGAGAUAUGGAGGAACACCGAUGGCGAAGGCAGCCUCCUGGACCAAUAUUGACGCUCAGGCACGAAAGCGUGGGGAGCAAACAGG
rnacentral:rRNA from 1 species